GGGUCGUUAGCUCAGUUGGAGAGCAGUUGACUUUUAAUCAUUGGUCGCAGGUUCGAAUCCUGCACGACCCACCA
rnacentral:tRNA from 1 species